CACUUGCCUAGCAUGCAUGAGGCCCUUGGUUUACUUGCCAGUACUUAAAGCAAACCUUAGGCAAUGCUUGCUUUCUUUGCUGCUGCUAUCAUGAAAUACUGACUAAGCCAGGCAGUUGUGGCAGGCAGAUCUCUAAGUGUGAAGUCUACAAAGUGAGUUCCAGGACAGCCAAGGCCACACAGAGAAACCCUGUCUUGAAAAAAAACAAAAUAAAACCAACAACACAAAGUCCCCAAAACAAACAAGCAAACAAAAAACACUCAAAUGAAAAGCAACCGGGGAGGAAAGUGUUUAUUGGGUUUUCUAUUCCAGGUCACAAUUCAUCAUCAUCCGAAGAAGGCAGGGCAGGAACUCAAGACAGGGACUUGGUGGCAGGAACCAUGAAGGAAGGCUAUUGCCUGGCAGACAGAGUAAUAUUCAGUUAGCUUCCUUAUCUAGCCCAGGACCACCUCUACAUAGGGAAUGAUACUGCCCAUGGUGAGCUGGACUUCCUCCUCCUCUUCCUCCUCCUCCUCUUCUUCUUCCUCCUUCUCCUCCUCUACUUCCCCUUCCUUAUUUAUUUAUUUAUUUAUUUAUUUAUUUAUUUAUAGACAGGGUUUCUCUGUAUAGCUCUGGCUGUCCUGGAACUCACUUUGUAGACCAGGCUGGCCUUGAACUCAGAGAUCUGCCUGCCUCUGCCUCCCAAGUGCUGGAAUUAAAGGUGUGUGCCACCACCGCCAGGCUUUCUUUUUAUUUUUGAGACAGAGUCUCUGACUGUCCUGGAACUCUUCACAAUGUAGACCAAGCUAACCUUGAACUCACAGAGAUCCAACUGCCUCUCAAGUGCUGGGAUUAAAGAUUUACUCCAUCAUGCUCAGCUAGGCUGGACCCUCUUAAAUCAAUUAAAAAUCAAGACAGUCUCAUGUGCUCAUACCAACGUGAUAAAUUGCUCCAUUGAGCCUCCUUCUUCAGGUGACUGUAACCGAUGAUAAGUUGACACUGUAUACUGGCUGGUUUUGUGUGUCAACUUGACACAAGCUGGAGUUAUCACACAGAGAGGAAACUCCCUUGAGGAAAUGCCUCCAUGAGAUCCAGCUGUAAGGCAUUUUCUCAAUUAGUGAUCAAGGGUGGAAGGGCCCAUUGUGGGUGGGGCCACCCCUGGGCCAGAAGACCUGGGUUCUAUAAGAAAGCAAGCUGAACAAGCCAGGGGAAGCAAGCCAGUAAGUAGCACUCGUCCAUGGUCUCUGCAUCAGCUCCUGCUCCCUGACCUGCUUGAGUUCCAGUCCUAACUUCCUUGGUGAUGAAUAGCAGUAUGGAAGUGUAAGCCGAAUAAACCCUUUCCUCCUCAACUUGCUUCUUGGUCAUGAUGUUUUGUGCAAGAAUAGAAACCCUGACUAAGACAAAUUGGUACCAGCAUAGUGGGGUAUUCCUGUGACAACCUGACCGUGUUUUGGGGAGGACUGUGGAAGGACUUUGGAACUUUGGCCUAGAAGAGCCAUUGGGUGUUAAGAGCUCUGUGGGAUGUUGUGUAGGAGCUUGGAAGAUAAUGUUAAGAACAGUGAAGAAAAAUGGAGGCCUGGCUUGUGAAAUUUCAGAGGGAAGAUUAAAGACUCUUACCAGGGCCAUUGCAGUUUUGAUUGUGAAGAUUCUGUGGUUCUGGUUAGCUGGGGCUGAAGAAUCAGCAGUGAUUAACAAGAUACCAGAACUACUAAAGCAAUCCUUUGCAUUACUGGGACUAUUGAUGCUGGUUAGCUGGAGCUUAGAAAUUAGCAGUGAUUAAGAAGAGACCAGCAUCACUGAGCUGAAAUCUUCUGGGAGUUUUUUUCUGAGAGUACAAAGAAACUGUGUUCCAGAGGCAGCCAAGGUUGUACCUUGUGCAGCAGCGGGGCUUGGUAAUGUGGGUAAUGUGUAAGAGUCACCCAGGUGGUACUGGUUUUGAAGGCAUGAAGGGGUCAUGAAGAGCAGUUGAGGCUUGGCACUAUGAGAGACCAUGGAAGGCCAUUGGUGAAGGUGCAGCCUCAGUUGCAGUUGAUGGCCCAGGACUGAAGGGGUCAUGCAAAGGAGUUGAGGCUUGGCACCAUGAAGAGAGCCUAUGAGAGGCUAUUGGUGAAGCCUAGAUGCAGUGGAAGACAGCAGUGUUUGGGGAUGCCAGUACCAUGAGAUGACCACCAAGAAUAACAGCAGCAGUGGAGUACAGGCAGCUGGAGCCUAGAAGACAAAGUGUGAGCUACUAAGGGCAGAGCUGGAGAAGUGACACAGCCCUUGGAGGAGCCCAGAAGAUUGUGAGUGGGUCCCAGACAUUGAACAGUUAGAGUUUGAUUUUGAUUGUGACUAUGCCCUGAUACUUUUCCCUCUUGAAGUAAGAAAGUAUUUUAAUGGCGCUCACGGUUAAAAGACUUGGAACUGUAAAAAGACUUUGAAUUUUAAGAGAUUGGAUGUUUUAAGGGGAUUGAAAUUUUAAUAUGUAAGAAUUUGCAAAGACUGUAGGACUUCUAAAGUUAUUUAGAUCUUGGGGAUGAAUAAGAAAGUAAGGGUUGAAGCUUAAUAGUGAUGUGUGUGUGUGUCAAGGGAAUAGAAUCCUAAGACACAUUGCUAACCAGUCAGGUGGUUUCCUCAAAGCCUGGACUUCCAGCUUCUCCUGGACCCUAAACCAUGCUGACGGCAGGAGCUCCACCAUAGCUUCUGCCCAGUUCUCUGGCUAUCUUCCCAAGUCUUGGGCCUUAAGAGCUGCAGUGAUAGAGGGAAGAUUUAAACCUACAACCCAGCUCCCAGAGGCCACCACCCUGUAGCUAGUCCUAGGGGAAAUCUUUGAGAGAUGAAAAGCCUAAGGCCUAGCAGGUGGACAGACAGACUGCCAUGCCAAAGACAGUGACUGUGCACUGUGGGGGAAACGGCCUGGGAGCCAGAACUCGCAGACUAGGUUGGAAACUUCCUAUUUCUUUGACCUAGGGUUCCCUCUGUUCAGAAUGCUCUCGCCCUUU
rnacentral:lncRNA from 1 species